rnacentral:lncRNA from 1 species
AUGUGCUUGUGAUGACUGCAGCCUCUCACACAUCCUCACUUGUGGUAUCAUGGACACCCCCGUCACUGAUGACAUCCACAUUCACCAGCUACCACUCCAAGUGGAUUCUGCUCCCGACUAUCUGUCUGAGAUGCGCCCACCUAGUGUGUCAUCAGCAAGCUCAGGGUCAGGUUCCAGCUCUCCCAUCACAAUUCAGCAACAUCCCAGACUCAUCCUCACAGACAAUGGCUCUGCACCAACUUUGUAAGUUGUGACUUUAUAAUAGUUUCAAAAAUUUAUCCAAUAAUGAGAAAUAAUGAGGAAUCAGUCUACAGAAAUACAAUCACCAUUACAGCACUUUUUAUAAA